rnacentral:rRNA from 1 species
UACGAAGGGGGCUAGCGUUGCUCGGAAUCACUGGGCGUAAAGGGUGCGUAGGCGGGUCUUUAAGUCAGGGGUGAAAUCUGGAGCUCAACUCCAGAACUGCCUUUGAUACUGAAGAUCUUGAGUUCGGGAGAGGUGAGUGGAACUGCGAGUGUAGAGGUGAAAUUCGUAGAUAUUCGCAAGAACACCAGUGGCGAAGGCGGCUCACUGGCCCGAUACUGACGCUGAGGCACGAAAGCGUGGGGAGCAACAGGGAUAGAAACC